UACGGGGGGGGCAAGCGUUGUUCGGAAUUACUGGGCGUAAAGGGCGCGUAGGCGGCCUGCUAAGUCGGACGUGAAAUCCCUCGGCUCAACCGGGGAACUGCGUCCGAUACUGGCGAGGCUUGAAUCCGGGAGAGGGAUGUGGAAUUCCAGGUGUAGCGGUGAAAUGCGUAGAUAUCUGGAGGAACACCGGUGGCGAAAGCGGCUCACUGGACCGAAUCUGACACUGAGGUGCGAAAGCUAGGGUAGCAAACGGG
rnacentral:rRNA from 1 species